UGGAUGUGAGAGCCACGUGGUACGGAACGGAAGUAGCGUGACCGGAAGUCGGAGAAAGAGGAAGUGGCCGGAACCGGAAGUGGCACGUGCGCGAUGGGAAUCGGGGGGAAAAUCAACCGCCCGAAAACGGAGCUCCGCCGGAAGUUAUUUAAGAGGCGGCGGGAACUCAGCAAGGCACGGAGGCGACGGAAAUGGUGUCCCCAAGAAGCCACAGGACGUGGAGAUGGUGGACGUUACAGCGGGGAACUGAGUGAUUCAAGGCCGUCCCAACGUGACCAAUAAAGGCUUUCGUUGCAGUCACGUGUCCGUGUGUCCUCCGUGUCCCUCUGUCCCUCUCCCCUUCCUCACCCUCCCCCCCAACCCUCCCGCGAAAAGUUUCCGCACGGACUCAUUUCGCAGCGCCGGAACAUUUCAGCUGCGGAACCAUUCUACGGUUCACAUUUUCCGAGUCGGAACCAUGAAGCGAAAAGGACACGCUUCCGGUUCGGAACCCUUUUUUUAGUUACCCGACAUAUUUCCGGUUCGGGCGACGGAAGUGCGCUCCGCGCAUGCGCACUCUGCACCUCGGGCCUGCGUCCACCCCUUUUAACCCCCUUUAAUACCAUAUAAAUCCCUUUUAACCCCAUUUACUCCCAUAUAGACCCCUUUUAACCUAUUUAAUCCCAUACAGACCCCUUUUAACCCCAUUUACUCCCACAUAGACCCCAUACAGACCCCUUUUAACCCCAUUUAAUCCCACAUAGACCCCACAUAGAUCCCUUUUAACCCCAAUUAAUCCCGUAUAGACCCCUUAUAGACCUCUUUUAACCUCAUUUAGAUCCCGUUUAACCCCAUUUAAUCCCAUACAGACCCCAUAUAGACCACUUUGAACCCCUUUUAACCCCAUUGACAUCCCUUUUAACCCCAUUUAGAUCCCUUUUAACCCCAUUAACCCCAUAUAGACCCCAUUGCGCUCCCUUGUAACCCCAUUUAACCCCAUUUAGAUCCUUUUAAACCCCUUUUAAUCACAUGUACACCCAUAUGACCCCACUUAGACCCCAUAUAACCCCAUUUAGACCCGUAUAUACCCAUCUAGACCCCAUAUAACCCCAUUUAAUCCCAUUUAUCCCCCAUCUACUCCCCAUAUAGACCCCAUUUAACCCCAUUAACCCCAUACAGACUCCUUUUAAUCCCAUUUAACCCUAUUUAAUCCCAUAUAACCCCAUUUAGCCCCAUAUACAACUCUUUUAAUCCCAUUUAGACUCCAUUUAGUCCCAUAUAGACCCUGUUUAACCCCAUUCAG
rnacentral:lncRNA from 1 species